rnacentral:sRNA from 1 species
AUCUAUCGCUGCCAAUCUAUUGCUGCUAAUCUAUCGCUGCUAAUCUAUCGCUGCUGCCAAUCUAUCUAUCGCUGCUAAUCUAUCGCCGCUGCCAAUCUAUCCCUCGCUGCUAAGCUAUCCCUCACUGCUAAGCUAUCACUGCCAAUCUAUCGCUGCUAAUCUAUCGCUGCCAACCUAUCUACCGCGGCGAAUCUAUCUAUCGCUGCCAAUUUAUCUACCACUGCCAAUCUAUCUAUCGCUGCCAAUCUAUUGCUGCUAAUCUAUCGCUGCUAAUCUAUCGCUGCUGCCAAUCUAUCUAUCGCUGCUAAUCUAUCGCCGCUGCCAAUCUAUCCCUCGCUGCUAAGCUAUCCCUCACUGCUAAGCUAUCACUGCCAAUCUAUCGCUGCUAAUCUAUCGCUGCCAACCUAUCUACCGCGGCGAAUCUAUCUAUCGCUGCCAAUUUAUCUACCACUGCCAAUCUAUCUAUCGCUGCCAAUCUAUCGCUGCUAAUCUAUCGCUGCUAAUCUAUCACUGCUAAUCUAUCGCUGCUAAUCUAUCGCUGCUAAUCUAUCGCUGCCAACCUAUCUACCGCGGCGAAUCUAUCUAUCACUAUCAUUACUAGUUCAAAAUAGAACUAGAGCAUAAACACACUAAACUUCUUUUGAUAGGUAAUGAUUUUUGGUAACGCUCAUAGCAUUAUAUCAUCUAUAUAGGGUAAAUCAUGGUCCCAUUUGGUCCCAUUUUAACAAAAUGGGACCAAAUGGGACCAGAAUCAGUAAUUUAUAAGAAGAACAUGACCUGGGACU